rnacentral:rRNA from 1 species
UCAAAGAUUAAGCCAUGCAAGUGAAAGUAUAUAUAUAUUUUAUAUGUAGAAACUGCGAACGGCUCAUUAAAACAGUUAUAGUCUACUUGAUAUUUUUAUUAUAAGGAUAACUACGGAAAAGCUGUAGCUAAUACUUGCUUUAUUAUCCUUUGAUUUUUAUCUUUGGAUAAGUAUUUGUUAGGCCUUAUAAGAAAAAAGUUAUUAACUUAAGGAAUUAUAACAAAGAAGUAACACGUAAUAAAUUUAUUUUAUUUAGUGUGUAUCAAUCGAGUUUCUGACCUAUCAGCUUUUGAUGUUAGGGUAUUGGCCUAACAUGGCUAUGACGGGUAACGGGGAAUUAGAGUUCGAUUCCGGAGAGGGAGCCUGAGAAAUAGCUACCACAUCUAAGGAAGGCAGCAGGCGCGUAAAUUACCCAAUUCUAAAGAAGAGAGGUAGUGACAAGAAAUAACAAUGCAAGGCCAAUUUUUGGUUUUGUAAUUGGAAUGGUGGGAAUUUAAAACCUUCCCAGAGUAACAAUUGGAGGGCAAGUCUGGUGCCAGCAGCCGCGGUAAUUCCAGCUCCAAUAGCGUAUAUUAAAAUUGUUGCAGUUAAAACGCUCGUAGUUGAAUUUCAAAGAAUCGAUAUUUUAUUGUAACUAUUCUAGGGGAACUAUUUUAGCUUUUCGCUUUAAUACGCUUCCUCUAUUAUUAUGUUCUUUAAAUAACAAAGAUUCUUUUUAAAAUCCCCACUUUUGCUUUUGCUUUUUGGGGAUUUUGUUACUUUGAGUAAAUUAGAGUGUUCAAAGCAAACAGUUAAAGCAUUUACUGUGUUUGAAUACUAUAGCAUGGAAUAACAAAAUUGAACAAGCUAAAAUUUUUUGUUCUUUUUUCUUAUUUUGGCUUAGUUACGAUUAAUAGGAGUAGCUUGGGGACAUUCGUAUUCAGAUGUCAGAGGUGAAAUUCUUAGAUUUUCUGGAGACGAACAACUGCGAAAGCAUUUGUCUAAAAUACUUCCAUUAAUCAAGAACGAAAGUUAAGGGAGUGAAGACGAUCAGAUACCGUCGUAAUCUUAACCAUAAACUAUGCCGACUAGGUGUUGGAUGAAAGUGUUAAAAAUAAAAGUCAUCUUUCGAGGUGACUUUUAGAUUGCUUCCUUCAGUACCUUAUGAGAAAUCAAAGUCUUUGGGUUCUGGGGCGAGUAUUCGCGCAAGCGAGAAAGUUAAAAGAAUUGACGGAAGGGCACCACCAGGCGUGGAGCUUGCGGCUUAAUUUGACUCAACACGGGGAAACUCACUAGUUUAAGACAAGAGUAGGAUUGACAGAUUAAUAGCUCUUUCUUGAUUUCUUGGAUGGUGAUGCAUGGCCGUUUUUAGUUCGUGAAUAUGAUUUGUCUGGUUAAUUCCGAUAACGAACGAGAUCUUAACCUGCUAAUUAGCGGCGAGUACACUAUAUUCUUAUUUGAAAUUGAACAUAGGUAACUAUACAUUUAUUCAGUAAUCAAAUUAGGAUAUUUUUAUUAAAAUAUCCUUUUCCCUGUUCUACUAAUAAUUUGUUUUUUACUCUAUUUCUCUCUUCUUUUAAGAAUGUACUUGCUUGAUUGAAAAGCUUCUUAGAGGAACAUUGUGUGUCUAACACAAGGAAGUUUAAGGCAACAACAGGUCUGUGAUGUCCUUAGAUGAACUAGGCUGCACGCGUGCUACACUGAUAUAUAUAACGA